GUUUAUAUCAGAAUUCUACUGAUUCAGCUAAACUUUAAAACCAAAUUUUUGUAUGUAUGAAAGAAUUGAAUAAUUUAUGGUUAACAAUAUCCUGACAGUAUCGUUUACUAGUUAUACAUGGAUUACCUUCAUUGAAAGUCUAAACUUGUAUUCUAUUGUUUCCGUAAAAGUGGUACCUACUACCUUAUUGAAAUUUUAAUUAAUGUUAUAAAAAACGUUAGUUACUGCUGGGACUUCUAGUGUUAUACUAAUAGUAUAAUAUUCACAGGUUACUGUUGUCCUAUGAGAAUAUUAGUUGUCAAACUUUUUUUAUUUUAUCUUUAUGAUGAUUAAGAAUAUAUUACAAGUUUACAAAUAUACACUUGAUCAUUUUUUUGUUUUUGUUUGUAAAAGACAAUACACAAAGCAUUCUGUGAAAAAGAUGAUGUAAAUUGAC
rnacentral:lncRNA from 1 species